AUUUAUGAUUGUGUUUACUGAUUUGCGUUUGUUUUUUUAAUGGGAAAAUCAGGAAACGGAAAGUCCUCAAAAGUGACCCAAUGUGGUUUCAUCCAUCUGAAUUUCCUGGAGUGGUGGUGGGAGGAGGAGUGCCCUCAGCAGGAGGAAAGCUGCACAGGAGUCAAAAGAGGAUGCCACUGGCCGCUUCCUGGCGUGGGAUAAACCAGCUCAGUCCAGCUCACAGAGCCGCGUUCCCUGCUGUUUUAACGCCAAGACAUGAGUACCUGCACAGGAAAGACCUCUACACCACCCUCCUCAGCCAACUCAACCAACCUGGUGGAUCACAAGUAAGUCACAUUUUAGUUGUCUUUUUCUUUCAGUGUGUAGAAACAUGAA